AGUCGAGCGAUCUCUUCGGAGAUAGCGGCGGACGGGUGAGUAACGCGUGGGAACAUACCCAGAGGUACGGAACAACAGUCAGAAAUGACUGCUAAUACCGUAUACGCCCUACGGGGGAAAGAAUUUCGCCUUUGGAUUGGCCCGCGUUGGAUUAGAUAGUUGGUGGGGUAACGGCCUACCAAGUCUACGAUCCAUAGCUGGUUUGAGAGGAUGAUCAGCCACACUGGGACUGAGACACGGCCCAGACUCCUACGGGAGGCAGCAGUGGGGAAUCUUAGACAAGGGGCGCAAGCCUGAUCUAGCCAUACCGCGUGAGUGAUGAAGGCCUUAGGGUCGUAAAGCUCUUUCGCCAGGGAAGAUAAUGACUGUACCUGGUAAAGAAGUCCCGGCUAACUCCGUGCCAGCAGCCGCGGUAAUACGGAGGGGACUAGCGUUGUUCGGAAUUACUGGGCGUAAAGCGCACGUAGGCGGACCAGAAAGUAUGGGGUGAAAUCCCAGGGCUCAACCCUGGAACUGCCUCAUAAACUCCUGGUCUAGAGUUCGAGAGAGGUGAGUGGAAUUCCGAGUGUAGAGGUGAAAUUCAUAGAUAUUCGGAGGAACACCACGGGGCGAAAGCGGCUCACUGGCUCGAUACUGACCCUG
rnacentral:rRNA from 1 species